rnacentral:rRNA from 1 species
CAUUAGAAGAGUGAGGGCCCUCUGGGUCCAACCUCCCACCCGUGUCUAUCGUACCUUGUUGCUUCGGCGGGCCCGCCGUUUCGACGGCCGCCGGGGAGGCCUUGCGCCCCCGGGCCCGCGCCCGCCGAAGACCCCAACAUGAACGCUGUUCUGAAAGUAUGCAGUCUGAGUUGAUUAUCGUAAUCAGUUAAAACUUUCAACAACGGAUCUCUUGGUUCCGGCAUCGAUGAAGAACGCAGCGAAAUGCGAUAAGUAAUGUGAAUUGCAGAAUUCAGUGAAUCAUCGAGUCUUUGAACGCACAUUGCGCCCCCUGGUAUUCCGGGGGGCAUGCCUGUCCGAGCGUCAUUGCUGCCCUCAAGCACGGCUUGUGUGUUGGGCCCCCGUCCCCCUCUCCCGGGGGACGGGCCCGAAAGGCAGCGGCGGCACCGCGUCCGGUCCUCGAGCGUAUGGGGCUUUGUCACCUGCUCUGUAGGCCCGGCCGGCGCCAGCCGACACCCAACUUUAUUUUUCUAAGGUUGACCUCGGAUCAGGUAGGGAUACCCGCUGAACUUAAGCAUAUCAA